UCUGAAUUCCAGGGCACCACUUCCUCUAAAGUAGGUUCCUCUCUAAACCCCCAGUGGGACUGUGCAGUGUGAGAUCUUGAAGAAGGAGCUUCCUAAUUACCACCAAGGACCAAUGGGGACCCUGGGAUCUGACGAAUCAGGUCCCAGGCAUUACUUGGCACUUCGAAGUAGCUCCCAAAAUUGCAGACAGAGGCUCCAGAGGAAAUUGUCAGUCUCUACAAGACUUGCCUGGUGUUUGCAAAACUUAUUCGAUGACAUCACAAGAAAGACUUGGCAAGUAGGAUAAGGGAGUCUGGCCAGUGAAGACAGACAGAAGCCUGCAGGCAUGGGUUCAGGCAGGACAGAAACGGAGAUUGCCAAUAGGUGGGGGUGAGGACAGAGCCAAGCACCUUGGAAGGAGAGGGAACAACCAGUUGGCAUUACCGAACACGUUCACAAACACGGUCCUCCUGUAUCCUCAGCAGCCCUGUAAGAGAUACUGAGCUCAAACGCCACGUCCUCCAAGAAGCUCUGCUGCAUCUACACAGCUAGGAAGGCAUCUUCCUCCGCUGAACCCCAGGACAUCCUCGUUAGUGCAGACUCCAUCCCAAGCCACAACUGAUACCCGACGCCUGGAUAUUGGAACUGAGAAAUUAACUGGCCUGUUUCUCAUUGUUGGAGCCACGAGAUGUGAAAAAUAAAAGCUGUUGGCCACGAUUCUCUCUGCCACAAAAGGAACCCUGUCUGCCGCUAGAGAGAGAAAACAGUUCACACAGACAGGGACAGAGGGACAGACAGACAGAGACCCAUUUGUUCUGGAAAUUUUCUGCCCUUGUCAGGAGUGGCUGGUCGGUUGACCCCACUGUCCACUACGUAACCCCCAGUAAAAUCUUCUUCCAAUAAAUCUUUCUUUAUUAAGGUG